GACGAACGCUGGCGGCGUGCUUAACACAUGCAAGUCGAACGGAAAGACCCUGCUUUUGUGGGGUGCUCGAGUGGCGAACGGGUGAGUAACACGUGAGUAACCUGCCCUUGACUUUGGGAUAACUUCAGGAAACUGGGGCUAAUACCGGAUAGGAGCUCCUGCUGCAUGGUGGGGUUUGGAAAGUUUCGGCGGUUGGGGAUGGACUCGCGGCUUAUCAGCUUGUUGGUGGGGUAGUGGCUUACCAAGGCUUUGACGGGUAGCCGGCCUGAGAGGGUGACCGGCGACAUUGGGACUGAGAUACGGCCAAGAAUGCUACGGGAGGGAGCAGUGGGGAAUAUUGCACAAUGGGCGGAAGCCUGAUGCAGCAACGCCGCGUGCGGGAUGACGGCCUUCGGGUUGUAAACCGAUUUCGAAUGUGACGAAGCGUGAGUGACGGUAAUGGGUAAAGAAGCACCGGCUAACUACGUG
rnacentral:rRNA from 1 species